UUAGUCAUCCAGGUAUGGUUUAUUGUUCUCCAAAAUGCACUGACACAACACAGAGCACGGACAAAAGGGAGCAUAAUAAUAAUAAUAAUAAUAAUAAUAAUAAAAAUCAGUAGCAACAAUGUUUUUAAUAAUAAUAAAAAAAAACUGUUAUUAAAGCUAGCAACUUAUAGUGUAUUUCACCAUGUUUAGUGAAGAGCAGGAGAGUCAUAUUUACACUGGAGACAUGUUUCUGAUUCCACUAUAUUGAGAAUCAACUCAUAAUGAGACAGAAGUGAUGCAUGGUAAGGUCUGCAACUAGAAAAAUGUAAACCAGCCACAGCAGAAAUCACAAUCUUAUUUAAACCUUAGUGGCAAAUUGGUAAAUGUGUUACUCCAGUGUCUCGCAUUAAGAUUUUGACUGGCAGGUGAUUGACGAAGUUGAACAUGAUCGAGAUUUGUCCACGUUUACAUUUUACCGAACACAGCAUUCAGAUAAAAAGAUAAUUUUACAAGACGAAAGCUAUUUAUUAUUCCACAGACUUUUCAUUGCUUUAAAUAUAUUACAAUCAUUCUAAUUCAACAUGCACAAAAUGCAGGGUAAAGAGCAAAGGGCAGAGAUUUUUCUCCGACAGUCAUAAAAAAUAUCUUCGAACUGUAAAAGGGCCGUUUACAAACACACGCUUGAGGCUUUCUCAGAUUUCUGCACAGAGAUGACUCUACUCCUGAGACUUUUCUCUGCACUGAUCUAUUAAAUAACUCGACUAUGACUAAAUUCAAAAACAAACAUUGACUUUCUCUGAGUAUUUUGCUUAUGCACCUUUGCAUAGAGUCCGUUAAUGCUGCUGUUCUUAGGCUGGUUUUUAGACUUCGGUUUUUAAAUCAUAGCUGCACAGUUUCACGUCAGUCAGUCUGUGAGCUCCUUGAGUAAAGAGAAACAAUAAAUGGGAUGAUGAUAUCAGCCUCUGUCAAUAAUGAUGUCUUCCUGACACAGAGUUAAUGCAGUGAAGAUAUUGUGGGACUGAGUGAGGAGUGGAAAAGCAACAACAUUGUAGUGAAUUAUUACUUGGUACCGUUGCACCGUUCCCUGCACAAAACGACUCACAAUCAAUGAGGUGAAGAGGGAAAAAACUUUACUCUCGUGAUGUGAUAUUUCGAACGUGAUUAAAGGUUUGUGAGGAAAUGCAUAAUCUGAUUUCACUCUACAGUGAAUGUAAAAAGUCUACACAGUCCCAAUAAAAUGGGAGUUCUUUCUGAUGGCAAAAAAAAAAAAAAAAAAAAAAAUUUCAGUUGUCUUUCCACCGUUAAUCUGUCGGAGACCCAAUAUUAUUCAAUUGAAAAAUGUAUUUAAGGGAAACCUGUAAAAAAAAUAAAAUAAAAAAAUCUAAAAAGCUGCAACAACCUGAUGUUAAUCAUAAAACUAAUACAUUGUUGAAACAUGUCUGCCAUCGGUUAUGGUGAAUCUGAAAUUAAAUUCAGCUUUAUUUCCUGUUUUAAAAGGCUUUUCUUGUCAUUCUUGUCAGUUUAUGAAGGUAUCAGUCAGGAAAAGCAGAAAAAAAGACCCAUCAGCAUUAUCUAUAUACAUGUCAUAGUUAUAUCAGUCAUUAAACAAAGAUGGAACCUAAGACUAAAACCUUAAUCUGGUUCGUACUAAUUGUCCUUUAACAACAAUCACCUCUCCAUAUGUCUGGACAGAGCAGUAAAGUGGUUAAAAAAGAAGACAAUUCUUGGAAAGAAAAUCUCAAGGUCUGGCUAAAAUCUUCUUAAACUUUGUAGGAGGAGAAGAAUAAGUUAAAUAGAACUUAAAUAUAUUUAUGUUUGGUACAAAACGCAUGGAGAAGCAGAAGACGAAGCAAGGUUUUGUUUUCCUGCAUGAUUUUUUUUUCUUUCAAUGGCAACAAAAUACUGGUAUUAAUAGAGGAGAAUUAAGAUUCUGAAAUCAAAGAUUUCAGAACUUCAUCUGACAGAAAGUCAGAUGAAGUUUGACUUCAUCUGACUUCAUCUGAAGUCAAACUAUAGAUAUGUCAUCUAUAGUAGAUGACAUAUUUCAUCUACUAUAGAUGAAAUAUGUCAUCUGAAUCUUACACAUUUGGAUAACUUUUGGAAAGAAAAGGAGGCAAAUAUUAAGUUAAGGUGUAGCAGGCUACAAUUCUCAAACUAAAAACUAAUACUGAAUUAAACCAAGUUUUAACAUAUUAUUAAUUUAAGGGUAUCCACAUUUGUUCAACUUUUUCUUCUUUUACAUGUUUCCCUCAAGCACAUUAGUUUUGUAGUUGAAUCGUAUAGCAUACUUGUUACAUUAAAGGUGGAAAGAGUUUGAAACUAUUCAUCAUAGUUUAAUUUGUACACAUAAAAAAACCUGACAUUUUAACAAGGGUGUUUAAAACAAAAAAAAAAAAAA